rnacentral:rRNA from 1 species
GAAUAUUGGACAAUGGGCGAAAGCCUGAUCCAGCAAUGCCGCGUGUGUGAAGAAGGCCUGCGGGUUGUAAAGCACUUUUGGCAGGGAAGAAAAGCUCAGGGUUAAUAACCCUGGGAAUUGACGUCACCUGCAGCAAAAGCACCGGCUAACUCUGUGCCAGCAGCCGCGGUAAUACAGAGGGUGCAAGCGUUAAUCGGAAUUACUGGGCGUAAAGCGCGCGUAGGCGGUUGGGUAAGUCGGUUGUGAAAUCCCCGGGCUUAACCUGGGAAUUGCAGUCGAUACUGCCCAGCUAGAGUGUGGAAGAGGGAAGCGGAAUUUCCGGUGUAGCGGUGAAAUGCGUAGAUAUCGGAAGGAACACCAGUGGCGAAGGCGGCUUCCUGGUCCAACACUGACGCUGAGGCGCGAAAGCGUGGGUAGCGAACAGG